GCAGGACAAGAAGAAGACAGUAGCUGAGAUGUUGGCUAUUAAGACAGCGGCUGAGAUAAUUUGAUUUGCGAAAAGAAGACGAAAGAGAAAGAAGAGACAAAGCCUGAAUUUCAAGGAAAAGGAAAGUCGUUUUCAUCGAUUAUUGAAAGCCUUACAGGUAAAAUUGUGAAAGGUGUGAGGCUGGAAGACUCUAGAAACCACGCAGUAGAUGAGGAUUGAAGUUUGUUUCAAAGUGACUUAUAGCUUUCUUGUAGGGUUUGCAAAAUGGCGACCAUGGAGAACAAGAGCUUGAUAGGCCUCGUGAAUCGGAUACAGAGCGCGACGGACGUGGCUGAUUCGUUCACAGGUGUGGCUGAUUCAAGACCUUCGGUUGUGGCUCAAGAAUUGCAUCAUCGUCCAUAGGUUGAUGUUUCUCUGUUGCUAUAAUUUUUUUUAUGAUUUGUUUGUUUCCUAAGAAAAUCGAUGAAAUGAGAAAUUUAGUGA